UACGUAGGGGGCAAGCGUUAUCCGGAUUUACUGGGUGUAAAGGGCGUGUAGGCGGGACUGCAAGUCAGAUGUGAAAACUGAGGGCUCAACCCUCAGCCUGCAUUUGAAACUGUUUUUCUUGAGUGCUGGAGAGGCAAUCGGAAUUCCGUGUGUAGCGGUGAAAUGCAUAGAUAUACGGAGGAACACCAGUGGCGAAGGCGGAUUGCUGGACAGUAACUGACACUGAGGCACGAAAGCGUGGGGAGCAA
rnacentral:rRNA from 1 species